rnacentral:rRNA from 1 species
GACGAACGCUGGCGGCGUGCCUAAUAUAUGCAAGUCGAGCGAAGUUUUUCUGGUGCUUGCACCGGAAAAACUUAGCGGCGAACGGGUGAGUAACACGUAAAGAAUCUGCCUCAUAGACUGGGACAACUAUUGGAAACGAUAGCUAAUACCGGAUAAUAGCAUUAACUGCAUGGUUGAUGUUUAAAAGUUGGUUUUGCUAACACUAUGAGAUGGCUUUGCGGUGCAUUAGCUAGUUGGUGGGGUAAAGGCCUACCAAGGCGACGAUGCAUAGCCGACCUGAGAGGGUGAUCGGCCACACUGGGACUGAGACACGGCCCAGACUCCUACGGGAGGCAGCAGUAGGGAAUCUUCCGCAAUGGGCGAAAGCCUGACGGAGCAACGCCGCGUGAGUGAAGAAGGAUUUCGGUUCGUAAAGCUCUGUUGUUAGGGAAGAAUGAUUGUGUAGUAACUAUACACAGUAGAGACGGUACCUAACCAGAAAGCCACGGCUAACUACGUG